AGCAACAGAGAAGAUCUGCACUUGACGUUAAUUAAUUAUACAUACUGGAAUGUUUAUCAUUCGAUACAAUUUUUACGUUAGGGAAGGUCUCCAGACUAUUGUGGCUCUCUUUUUAUUAAGAGAGCUAUACCUGUAAUGGGUAUAAAAGAUGCGUUGCCUCUGGUUAACGUGCUUUCUCUAUCUUUUGGCAAAAACAAAGUUCGAGUUUCAGAAGCUCUAGAGAUUGCUAUUUCACUGGUCAUAGUUAUAGUUAUUGCGGAUACUAUUUCUCUUGCGCUUUCUUUGUAAAGCACCUGAGAAUAGUUAACAGAAUGGAGACUACUCUCUCAAGUUGC
rnacentral:RNase_MRP_RNA from 2 species